rnacentral:lncRNA from 1 species
UUUUUUUUUUUGUUCAGAGGGGAUUGUUUUAUUUUUUAUUAUCAGUAGAGAGCUUAUCUGUGAAUAAAUUAUUUAUAUUUAUUCUCCCACAAUAAGUGUUCAUGUAUGUUUGGGUGGAUGGAUGGAUGGCGGAACUGUAUUUAUGUCCUGUGAAAAAGGCAAAAAUCUCCUGCAUAUGGCUAUAUUCAUAUAAAACUGGUGAUCUGUGAACAGAACUCUUCUGUGGAAGACCUGUCCUAAGUCUGAAUCUAGCAGAAUCACUGCCAAUGUCAGGGUUUUUGCUGAAAGCUUCUCCUCACUGGCUUACUUUGCCUUACUUUCAUGAUACUUGGGCCAAUGUGUGCAUACCCAAACCAAAUGAUUAGUUGUGGUGUUUAUUCAAAGUGCUCAAAGGGAGUGUUUGAGACGGUGAACUUGCAAGCUGGAGAACUGGGAAGUGCUCAGCCAGUGUCCUACCUGGCGAUGCCUUUCAGGAUUCCCCCAGGAAAGAAGAGACAGGCAUAUUUUGGCUGAAAGUGCUUUUACAUCACAGAAGACUGGGAAAAGUACAUCAGAUACAAUCUAGCAACUGAAAUUGGUAUUUGAAUGCAAACAACAAGUAGUCUUUUUGGUACUUCAUGUUCAAUAUUUUAUGUUCUUUUUACAAAAAUGAAUCACAUUAAAAAAAUAUUUUCAAAGGUACUCAUAAUUUUUAAUGCCUUCUGGUUUUGAAUUAUUGGAUUUGAGAGCUCUCCUUAAAGGGCUCAGUUUUAGUGGAAAAUGCUAGCACCUUUCCUGUCUCCUACUAAACAGUGUGAUUCAUUCCAAAUUACCUAAAAUGAACACUUAGAACCACAGGGCAUUUCUGAACAUAUUGCUCACCAUCUUAAAUGCAAAAUUUAAAAAAGCAAGGACAUGUUCUGCUCAUACAGAUUGGUUAGGUUUGGGGGUUUUUGUUUUGUUUUGCUUUGUUUUAAUUUUCUCGUACUAACUGGUAGAACAGAAGGUAGAAUAUGUAAGAAAGCCCGGAGUCAAUAUGUGCAAUCUUGGCUUACUUGGGGUUAAUUUGGGUUUUUUUUAAAUCAGAAACCUUGGUAUGGACAAGUAAUAAACCCUCCAGGGUCUUUGUACAGAAAUAAUUUGCAGGAUCUGGUCAUUAGUUUGUUUCUGUUCUGAGUGCUUGAAUUUUACAUCUAUUAAAAUGAGUGACAAAAUUCUCGCUCACUUAAGAUCAGUCCUUGCUGCGGAGAGGGUGUCAGCCGCUAUGUGCUAGCUUUGGCAUAUCUAGUCUGCUGGAUUGCAGGUGACUUCUUGGUCUUUUGCAAAUGGUCGUAUUUAUGGCUUCAAGAAAAAAAGGAGUUGGAUAGUAUAUAUUCAUUAACACAGUGGUUGAGGAGAAGCUGUUAAGGUUGUGGAAUACUACACGUUUAAAAGGGCAGUUAGAAAUACUACAGGGUAUCAAUAGCUAAGAAAGCUUGCUUGUUUUGCUUUCCUGCCCUCCCCAACUUUGCUCCCCCCACCUUUACUCUCCUCUUUUCCUCUUUUUUCAUUCUCUCCUACCCCCCUCUUCUUUUUCCUCUUUUGUAGUAGAGUAUAGAUUUUCAUGGUUAUAAAUCUAGUUUUGGUGUGAAGGGAAGUUGAAAUUCCACCAUAUAAAAUGUUCAGUUGUCUGAUGUCUAGUUAGAAACAUAGGGGGGCGUCCUAGCACUGCUUUACAGUUGUGCACACUGAGUUUUACCUUGUUCUAUCUCAAAUAUUUUGUAUUGCAUGUUAAUGAUUUUUUUAUAUAUUCUAGUAGUACAAAAUAAAAAAUAAUUUGAAGAAACAGAGCACCCCUACAGCCCUCACUAUUCUAUGCAGAUGUCUUCCAAAAUUUACAGGUACAAUUUUAGUGGUGGUGGUUGGUAAAUAUAUUUUUUUUUUUUUUUUUCCCCCCCCCCACUUAUUUAUCAGCAGACUUCUUUUUUUAUAUGCAUUAGUGACAGAAUGGACUAAGCACAGCUGUAAGUUAUUGUAUCUCUGUAGAAAAUAGAAAUAGUGUAAAAUCAUUUUUGUUAAAUGUUCGCAGUUUUUAAAUAAACUUUUCAUCUCCUAAAAA